rnacentral:rRNA from 1 species
AGAGUUUGAUCCUGGCUCAGAAUCAACGCUGGCGGCGUGCCUAACACAUGCAAGUCGAACGAGAAAGUGGAGCAAUCCAUGAGUAAAGUGGCGCACGGGUGAGUAACACGUGACUAACCUACCCUUGAGUGGGGGAUAACCUAGGGAAACCUGGGCUAAUACCGCAUAACACCUACGGGUCAAAGGAGCAAUUCGCUUAAGGAGGGGGUCGCGGCAGAUUAGUUAGUUGGCGGGGUAAUGGCCCACCAAGACAGUGAUCUGUAUCCGGCCUGAGAGGGCGCACGGACACACUGGAACUGAAACACGGUCCAGACUCCUACGGGAGGCAGCAGUGGGGAAUUUUGCGCAAUGGGGGAAACCCUGACGCAGCAACGCCGCGUGGAGGAUGAAGUCCCUUGGGACGUAAACUCCUUUCGACCGGGACGAUAAUGACGGUACCGGAAGAAGAAGCCCCGGCUAACUUCGUGCCAGCAGCCGCGGUAAUACGAGGGGGGCGAGCGUUGUUCGGAAUUAUUGGGCGUAAAGGGUGCGUAGGCGGUUCGGUAAGUUUUGUGUGAAAUCUUCGGGCUUAACUCGAAGCCUGCACAAGAUACUGCCGGGCUAGAGUGUGGGAGAGGUGAGUGGAAUUUCCGGUGUAGCGGUGAAAUGCGUAGAUAUCGGAAGGAACACCUGUGGCGAAAGCGGCUCACUGGACCACAACUGACGCUGAGGCACGAAAGCUAGGGGAGCAAACAGGAUUAGAUACCCUUGUAGUCC